UCGGGUAUGGUGUAGCGGUAACAUCGCUGACUCUCAUCUCUUGAGCUACUCAGCAGCCCGGGGUUCGACUCCCCGUAUCCGAG